rnacentral:rRNA from 1 species
CCUACGGGUGGCAGCAGUGAGGAAUAUUGGUCAAUGGGCGUAAGCCUGAACCAGCCAAGUCGCGUGAGGGAAGACGGUUCUAUGGGUUGUAAACCUCUUUUGUCGGGGAACAAAAUGCGGGACGUGUCCCGUUCUGUGUGUACCCGAUGAAAAAGCAUCGGCUAACUCCGUGCCAGCAGCCGCGGUAAUACGGAGGAUGCGAGCGUUAUCCGGAUUUAUUGGGUUUAAAGGGUGCGAAGGCGGUAUGUUAAGUCAGCGGUAAAAUUGUGGGGCUCAACCUCGUCGAGCCGUUGAAACUGGGUGUCUUGAGUGUGCGAGAGGUACGCGGAAUGCGUGGUGUAGCGGUGAAAUGCUUAGAUAUCGCGCAGAACUCCGAUUGCGAAGGCAGCGUACCGGCGCAUGACUGACGCUGAUGCACGAAAGCGUGGGGAUCGAACAGGAUUAGAUACCCCGGUAGUC